GAUGAGCAUGCGUCCCAUUAGCUAGUUGGUAAGGUAACGGCUUACCAAGGCUACGAUGGGUAGGGGUCCUGAGAGGGAGAUCCCCCACACUGGUACUGAGACACGGACCAGACUCCUACGGGAGGCAGCAGUGAGGAAUAUUGGACAAUGGGCGCAAGCCUGAUCCAGCCAUGCCGCGUGCAGGAUGACGGUCCUAUGGAUUGUAAACUGCUUUUAUACGAGAAGAAACACUCCUUCGUGAAGGAGCUUGACGGUAUCGUAAGAAUAAGGAUCGGCUAACUCCGUGCCAGCAGCCGCGGUAAUACGGAGGAUCCAAGCGUUAUCCGGAAUCAUUGGGUUUAAAGGGUCCGUAGGCGGUUUAAUAAGUCAGUGGUGAAAGCCCAUCGCUCAACGGUGGAACGGCCAUUGAUACUGUUAGACUUGAAUUAUUAGGAAGUAACUAGAAUAUGUAGUGUAGCGGUGAAAUGCUUAGAGAUUACAUGGAAUACCNAUUGCGAAGGCAGGUUACUACUAAUUGAU
rnacentral:rRNA from 1 species